rnacentral:rRNA from 1 species
UACGUAGGGUGCGAGCGUUAAUCGGAAUUACUGGGCGUAAAGCGUGCGCAGGCGGUUUUGUAAGCCAGAUGUGAAAUCCCCGGGCUCAACCUGGGAAUGGCAUUUGGGACUGCAAGGCUCGAGUGCGGCAGAGGAGACUGGAAUUCCUGGUGUAGCAGUGAAAUGCGUAGAUAUCAGGAGGAAUACCGAUGGCGAAGGCAGGUCUCUGGGCAACAACUGACGCUGAGGAGCGAAAGCGUGGGGAGCGAACAGG